UGUGACCUCAAAUCAGGUAGGACUACCCGCUGAACUUAAGCAUAUCAAUAAGCGGAGGAAAAGAAACUAACAAGGAUUCCCCUAGUAACUGCGAGUGAAGCGGGAAAAGCUCAAAUUUAAAAUCUGGCAGUCUUUUGGC
rnacentral:rRNA from 1 species